UACGUAGGGGGCAAGCGUUGUCCGGAAUCAUUGGGCGUAAAGAGCGUGUAGGCGGCUCGGUAAGUCCGCUGUGAAAGUCCAGGGCUCAACCCUGGAAGGCCGGUGGAAACUGUCGGGCUAGAGUCCGGAAGAGGCGAGUGGAAUUCCCGGUGUAGCGGUGAAAUGCGCAGAUAUCGGGAGGAACACCAAUGGCGAAGGCAGCUCGCUGGGACGGUACUGACGCUGAGACGCGAAAGCGUGGGGAGCAAACAGG
rnacentral:rRNA from 1 species